ACGAAACUUGCCCCGAGAUGAGUUCUCCCUGAGACUAUAAGUCUCCUGAAGGAACGUUAAAGACGAUGACGUUGAUAGGCCGGGUGUGUAAGCGCAGCGAUGCGUUGAGCUAACCGGUACUAAUGAACCGUGAGGCUUAACCUUACAACGCCGAAG
rnacentral:rRNA from 1 species